rnacentral:rRNA from 1 species
CACGUAGGGGGCAAGCGUUGUCCGGAUUUAUUGGGCGUAAAGCGCUCGUAGGCGGUUCGGUAAGUCGGGUGUGAAACCUCCAGGCUCAACCUGGUGACGCCACCCGAUACUGCCGUGACUUGAGUUCGGUAGGGGAGCGGGGAAUUCCUGGUGUAGCGGUGAAAUGCGCAGAUAUCAGGAGGAACACCGGUGGCGAAGGCGCCGCUCUGGGCCGAAACUGACGCUGAGGAGCGAAAGCGUGGGGAGCAAACAGG